UGGGGAAUAUUGCACAAUGGGCGCAAGCCUGAUGCAGCCAUGCCGCGUGUAUGAAGAAGGCCUUCGGGUUGUAAAGUACUUUCAGCGGGGAGGAAGGCGAUAAGGUUAAUAACCUUGUCGAUUGACGUUACCCGCAGAAGAAGCACCGGCUAACUCCGUGCCAGCAGCCGCGGUAAUACGGAGGGUGCAAGCGUUAAUCGGAAUUACUGGGCGUAAAGCGCACGCAGGCGGUCUGUCAAGUCGGAUGUGAAAUCCCCGGGCUCAACCUGGGAACUGCAUUCGAAACUGGCAGGCUAGAGUCUUGUAGAGGGGGGUAGAAUUCCAGGUGUAGCGGUGAAAUGCGUAGAGAUCUGGAGGAAUACCGGUGGCGAAGGCGGCCCCCUGGACAAAGACUGACGCUCAGGUGCGAAAGCGUGGGGAGCAAAUA
rnacentral:rRNA from 1 species